rnacentral:lncRNA from 1 species
UCAAUCACAAUCAAAAUCAAUAAACUCAAUCACACUUAAAAUCGAUCAACUCAAAUAAAACUCAAUUAAUCAACAUAUAUAUACAUAUACGUACCUAUAUAUGGCUCCACAAACUAAUUAUGGACAGAUUUCGAAAACACCCAACUUUUUUCUCCCGUUUUUUCUUCUCCCGUUUUUUUUCCAGAUGAGCUGCUGCUGUCCAGAUCCGCAAAUAUAAAACACUUUAGCCGACGACAUAUUAAUUUCGUCGGCUAAACUUUUAAAUAUUUCGUCGGCCAUAGUUUGUGAACUUUAGCCGACGAAAUAAAUUCUUUAGCCGACGAAAUUUUUUUUUCGUCGGCUAAAGUUUACCAUAGCCGACGAAAAUUUAACUUAGCCGACGAAAUAUAAUUUCGUCGGCUAAAGUGGACUUUAGCCGACGAAAAAAUGCUUCGUCGGCCUGGUUUUUUUUUUUUCGUCGGCUAAAGCCUUUCUUCUGGUAGUGUAAUCUAAUGCACACAAUCACCACUAAGACACACAUAUCCACAACUAAAGCACACAAUCACCACUAAGGCACACACAUCCACAACUAAUGCACACAUUCAAUUACUCUCCUAUCAUAACACUUAUCAAAUCAUAAAAUAUUAAUAUCAUCAUAACUGUAACCAAUCACCCGAUUAAAGGCUUGAAACCCAGUUUGACUAAAUAAACAACAAUUUCACUUCACACUAUCACAUUAUCAUAACGUGCCUUUCACACAUAAACAUGUGGAUAAAAAUAUUUAAAACAAGAAUAAUAUACCGACUCUAAUUAUGACUCAUGAUCGGAAGUCCUUUUGAAAGAUUAUAUUGUUAACAGAAAACUUGUUUUCACUUACCAUGAGCCGUUGACGAUCAAGCUCAUUUAUAUUUAAAAACAAAUCAUUUUCUCUCAGGCACAACUUCACAAUUAGCAAUAAUUAUCAUCAUCAUCAUAACCACCAUCAUAUUUAUCAUCAUAAUCAUUAUCAUAUUCAUCAUCAUAAUAAUUAUCAUAAUAAAUAUCAUAAUCAAAACCAACAUCACAACCAUCAUCAAAAUAAAUAGGCCACAAGAUGGACCUUGGUGAGAUUUUACUCACCUUUACUCCCGCUGCGUCUUCACACAAACACAAGCGUCUAGCUCAAAACUAAACCCCACAAGUCACCCUAUUAACAAAAACGUUAACCUUAAUUACUGACAAACACGACUUUUACACUUGUUUUCAUAAGCUCAACAACCUCAUAAAAACUUAAACAAGCUAAACAAGUCAACCAACAACACUAACAUUGACAGACGUGCUGCCACAGGCCGCCACAGACAGCGGCGUGUGGGCCCAACACGCCCCCUAAGAACUUCACCAAACCCUAACAUGCUCAAGCAACUCUAAAACCUACAAUCUACAUGCUCACGUGCUCGUAUCGACAAGCACAACCUAACAAAGACUACUGACCUCCCAAACCCUUGCCUGACGCGCCGCCACGCGCCACCACCAACGGCAGCGAGUGGGCCCCACGCGCCACCCCAACACCUUCAACAACUCAACAACUUCCAACAGCAAACUUGAAGAUUACAACAAGGGGGACACUUUUCAUACCUGGAGGUUCAACUAGUUCGGCUGGAAUCGGCCGGAAAUCACCGGAAACUCGUCGGAAGCUUGGAAUCCACCACCGCCACUCUCCGUCGUGUGUCGCGCUUCAAGGCCACCAGAAGUCGGACCAGGACGCCAAGGGGCUUCUAUCUUGACCGGUCCCCAGCUGCGUCGCCGCCGUACACGGCCGGAAAGUCGUCGGGUCGAAGUCGGGUCCGCCACCCGCUCUGUGGCGUUCGAUUCUCUCAAAUCCGGGUCGAGUCAUCCUCACCCACCUACACAGGGAGGAUCACGCCGAGGAGAGGAAGAGUUUUUGACCGGUGCCGCCGUCUGAGUCAGCCGGAGUUGGUCGGAAAAACCGGGUCGGGUCGCCGAGUCCGGGUCGAGUCGGCUGGAAAACUCGGGUAGUGAGGGUGAGGCGCGAGGGAGAAGAAAGAGGGAAGGAAAUGGGUUCCGGAAAAAAUGAAUGGAAACCCUAACACUUCCCUUAUUUAACCCCAAAAUCCCGUAAAGCCACGAACUUCUGUUUACCAUAACUUUCUCAUACGAAGUCCGUUUUAUGCGUGCCACAUGUCUACGAACUCGUAUCGUCGUGCUCUACAAUUUUCGUGAAGGAAGUUUCUCUAGAAACCCAACAGAUUUGAAAGUCAACUUUUGACCCUUCAGAACCAUAAGACCGUUUCGGGUAAUUAUGCGUCCAAACGCUUCCGCUCUUCCUUCGUACCUCAAAACACACUAACUUCUAACUCGAAAAUUCUCAAUUAAUAUAAGAAACUAAUAUCAAAUUUCCGGGGUAUUACACAUAGAGAAUGGAUUUGAGUAACACUAUAACGGCCAGCAAUAGUUUACUGAGUUCUCAUAUGUGAUAGUCCUAUAUUAUUUAGGGGAAGUGUAAACAAUUUUUAAGGGAAGUGCAUGUAGCAGGAUUUAGUGUCAUUUGUGAGUAGUGGUUGUGGUACGGCUAAAAUAGCCUCACAAUUUAACCCUGCAAAAGAUUGUCGAUUGUAGUAUAAAGAAGCAAGGAUCGUUCAUUGCCAGAGAUUGAGGGUAUUUAAUUUCACACACAAAAACAAUGUCACAAAAGUGUCUACUGUUCCUGACGAACAGCAGACUAAAAUAUAAUUAACUACCUAAUCUACACUACUCAGAAAAUUAUGAAAAUUUAUAAAACUACACUAGACACAGAGAAGAACACGCAAACAAAAUUUCAGGGGAUUUGGAGUUUGUUUACUAUACUAAAUAAAUCACGAAAUACAGAAGACAAAAGAAUAAGAAAACAGUUUUGAUUUGUAGUUUGAGAAACAAGACAGAGAAGAGGUUAGGGAUUUAGGAAAUUCACCACCGAAUAUGCUUUAAAACAAAGUCCACACAACCAAGAUUCCAAUUACCAAGUUAUGAAAAGGUUCAAUCAAGAAUAAACCGUGAACGCACUGCUUAAAUUCUUACUACUUCCCUUAACUACUUAUGCAUGAUGAACGCACCAUUACUAAGCCUUUAGAAUAACCAAUCAAGGUAUAGACGCUAUCCUAUCAACAAGUUAUUCUAAGCAUUAAGAUCAAUGGAAGUGAUUGAACAAGUAUGCAAAACUAGUGUGGAACGCCUACCUAGCAUGCAUGUCUCUCUAUUUGGUUUCACCUAUUGUCCUAUAGGUUUUACUACUUUGAAUUAAGCAGUAUUAACCGUUUAGGAGAUUAAACAACCUAAUUCUAGCCCCACUUACAAGUUUAUAAUGUUCUAUGUAUGCAUCCAUGAACAUAAACAAGCAAGAGUUCUCUAUAAAUCAAAACCAAACAGACAAUCCAACUAAGUAAUUACGAAAUCAAGGUUGUGAAACAAAGUUUAUUGCAUAAUUCGGGGCUUCAAACCUCCACCCCUAACUAAGAUAAACUAGCCACACAUCGUUGUAGAAAUCACACAGAGAAAAUAAAUCAUAUUCGAAAGUUAAAGAUUACAAAGGGAAGAAGAAAACUGUGAAUGGAAGGAGUUGAUGAUGAUCUUGGCGACUUCCCCUUGAUGGAUUCUUGUGCGAUGCAGCAACGUGAAGGCUCUAUUGCAGUAUGACGGCUUCUCCCCGUUCUGGUAUUAGGGUUUUGCUUUAAGUAGUCUCCAAGUCUUCAAAGCUUCCUUUUCAGACUAUGUUUCCUUCUUUGACUAGAAUCAAUGUUUGGGCCAUCUUUUGAAUGUCUUCCACAUAUAAUCUGGGCUUGGCUUUUGGGCAAAUUAUAUUAAUGAUGUCACUCUUCAAAAUCGUGCAAAAAACCCCCAAGAAAGCUUCUCAGAAUCCAGCCCAAACACUGCCUCGAACUUGACUGCUGCACAGCUUUCCCGGAACUGCUGAUUUUCUGUCCAACUUUGGAGCUUCAUAACUCCCAGAUGACAUCACCGAUUUGGAUGUUUCUUGAGUCCAAAUUAAUCUACAAAUGCUCCUCUACAAAUCUGGGCAGUCAUCUUGGUGAAACCAUUCUCAAAACCGCAUGGAAAUAAGCCUUGAAAACCGGAGAAAAUAAGCAGAAACCAUUUUUCAGCUUUUUGUGUUUGCAGCUUCUGUUUUGGUGAAGUGGUUCCAUCGCCUUUCCUUGAUAUUUUUGACCAUGUGAGUGAUCAAUCUCCAUCCUUGACAUCUCUACUUCGUAUUGGAAGCCUUGCUUGCAUCACUUGAGCAAAUAUUUGCAUUAUCUUGCUCCACGAAGUACCUAAGAAGAUAACAAAGUUAAAACAAUCUUUUUAAAGAAAAAUAGCUAAGUUAAAUGCAAAGGUUAAACUAUAAAAUCGUCGCAUUUUAUGCUCCUAUCAGGUUGGGUAUUCACGUGUUUUCGGUUCUGUCUCUUCUUCUUAUUGUUUCUGUACAAAUUGUAUUCCUAGAAAGUUCUCAAAUUUGAGGGUAUUUACAUUACCUGUUGGAAAACAAAAUGAUUUGUACAUUGUCCUCUGAAAGCAAAUUGAUAAUAUAUAUAAAAAAAGGGAACUAGUAAGGACCCAAGAAGUUUACUGAAAAUUGAGUAGUCUGUCGCUGAUAGACUUUGAUGUUGUUGUAUUACUUUGUUCUUUUUCGUAAAUUUUGUUAUAAAUAUUAUGUCUAUAUGUGCAAAUAUUGCAAUACCUAGAAUUAAUUUACUUAGUUUGGAAAGUCUAUAUUUUUAAUGAACGUCCCAUUUACCAGAGAAAAGGAAAUUGACAGUACAUAUUCUUUGUUGUAAUGGAAUUUUAUACAAUAUUUGAUAAUAUUUGUUUAUUGUUUUUUUUAUUGUUUAGAUAUGGCGUGCACCAAGAAAAGGAAGUACUCGGAAGGAAAAUAUCGUUUUCGAAAGUGUUCCAUGGUUUUGAUUUAUUGACAAAAAAACUAUCUAUAUAAAAUGGAAGAAAUUACGAGACAAAAGCUUAUUAGGUAUUGUCACACUUGAUUUGUUACUUUGAAUGACAUAACUCAAUAUAUAGAUCAUGAUCAGAAAGUCCUUACCUUAGAGAAAAAGUACAUGGAUGCAAGACUUUUUUUUUCUGAUAAGUUCCUCUUUUGCAGCUUCAGUUCAGUUGGUUCACUAAAAGAGUUGGUUAGAAAUACAAAGCUGUUAAUCAACAGGCAGUAGAAACAUUCUAAAAGGUACUAUUAGUCUCGCUUCAUUGCAUACGCAUAGAAGCCUAUUAUUGCUUGCGCUCAAUUGUAUUCUUAAACUAAUUACGUUUCCAAUUGCAUAACUUUUUAAUUAAAGAUUUUACUUGCUUUGUGUUUGCACUAGACAAGCACUCUUUUUUCAUAAGGUUUUUGUGUUUAGACAAUAUAUAUCAUAAACGUGGAUGUGAGAGAAAUUCCCAGCAUCUAGCUUCUUUUUUAAUUUUAAAGGUAUGAUUUUGGUGUGUUGGGUUUCUAGGUUUUCUGUUUAUUGGUGGUGCUGGGAGAAAUAGAUACCUUCUUUUUAGAAAGCUUUCCCUGCGUCAUGAUAUGUGAGGGAAUCAAGUAACAAAUAGACCAAUGAUUAGGUGGUAGAUUGAUAUGUUUGUACCAUAUAAUCAUAUAUAUCUGAACAUAUUGAAGUAUAUAGUCUAGCUGGAUUGCUUUGUGUUUAGUUUGUUCUCAUUGUGCGAGUGCUUCGAUAAUUACUUGGUCUUUUUGGCUGAAAUUAUUGAUGUAAAAUUUAGGGACGUAGUUCCCGGCACUGAAGUUGAGAAGGAUGUUAAGUGCUUCAUAUUACAGUUGGGAGAGAAUGAGGCUGUUGCUGCCAACAAGCAGGAUUGUGUGGAUGAGCCAGAAGAGGAGGGGGUUUUCAAUGCGAGUUCAUAAAUUGUAAGACUAGGUAAUGAAUAAUUUUCCUUAAUCAAAAGAGAUAUAUUGAUUGGUUUUCCAUUAUCAUUGCGAUUUGUAACUUGGAAUUUGGUGCAUGAUAUACUUGAUUUCCUGAUUCCUCUAACUGGGUUUCGCUAUGUUUUGAAAGAUACAGAGCUGGGUUCCUAAUUCACUUUCGGUUAGAACCCAGGCAACCAAAAUAUAUUAUAUGUAACUUGGAAAGCUUCUACUCUGUUCUUAAAUUCUUUGUUUGGAACAUUUUUGUUCACAAUUUUGUGUUUCAAUUAACAUUGGAUGGCAAGACAAAAAGAAGCAAAUAUUUGUUGUUACCAUCACAUGAUUCAUAUCUCUCUGAUACAGGUUUAGCAAUAGGAGAAUGGUCUGAUUGCAUUAGGAAUACGAUUGUAUUAUUUCUUGACUUUUGUUAGACCCCAAAAAUGAAAAAUUAGUUAACUGAAAUACUUCUGAUAAUGUAUAGUUGGAUUUAUGGUGAGCUAUGUAAUUACUUUUUUCUUUUUCUUUUUGCAGAUUUGUGCAGUUGUUGCAUUCGAUCAGGAGCUAAUUUGCUGAGCAUUGAGCUCUUAUACAUCUUCUUCAUAUUCAGGUAUAUCAGACCUCUUCUGUAUAUUCAAGUUGAAGUUGCAAUUAAAUUUUUGAAGGAUUCUUGAACAAUACAGCUUAUCUAUUCUGUUCAUGGUNNNNNNNNNNNNNNNNNNNNAGUGUGUAGAUCAUUCCUGCAAAGUUUCAACAAAUUUGAAGAUCAUUUGGGUACCGAAUUAAAUUAAAUAAAUCAACAGAACAAAAGUAGUCCAAACAGAACCGUUCGUGUAAAUUACGAUUACGGAAGCUCAAAUGAUCUUCAAAUUUGAUGAAACUUUGUAGGUAUGAUCUACACACUGUGUUUUAGACAUUGUACGGUUGAGAUGUGGAAAUACGACCUGAAAAUGAGCGAAAUAAGGAGUCCCGCACUUUAAUUUCAAAGAGGGAUCCCUCCUCUGGAAGGGGACUGUAUAUAUAUAUAUAUAUAUAUAUAUAU